rnacentral:rRNA from 1 species
GGGUUGUGAGGUUAAGCGACUAAGCGUACACGGUGGAUGCCCUGGCAGUCAGAGGCGAUGAAGGGCGUGCUAAUCUGCGAUAAGCGCCGGUAAGGUGAUAUGAACCGCAAUAACCGGCGAUACCCGAAUGGGGAAACCCAGUGUGACUCGUCACACUAUCAUGCAGUGAAUACAUAGCUGUAUGAGGCGAACCGGGGGAACUGAAACAUCUAAGUACCCCGAGGAAAAGAAAUCAACCGAGAUUCCCCCAGUAGCGGCGAGCGAACGGGGAGGAGCCCAGAACCAUCAUCAGCUUGUGCAUCAGUGGAAGCGUCUGGAAAGUCGCAGGGUACAGGGUGAUACUCCCGUACACAAAGGUGCACAGGCUGUGAGUUCGAUGAGUAAGGCGGGACACGUGGUAUCCUGUCUGAAUAUGGGGGGACCAUCCUCCAAGGCUAAAUACUCCUGACUGACCGAUAGUGAACCAGUACCGUGAGGGAAAGGCGAAAAGAACCCCGGCGAGGGGAGUGAAACAGAACCUGAAACCGUGUACGUACAAGCAGUGGGAGCCU